UGGAGAGUUUGAUCCUGGCUCAGGACGAACGCUGGCGGCGUGCCUAAUACAUGCAAGUCGAGCGCAGGAAGCGAGCUGAUCCCCUUCGGGGGUGACGCUCGUGGAAUGAGCGGCGGACGGGUGAGUAACACGUGGGCAACCUGCCUGUAAGAUCGGAAUAACUCCGGGAAACCGGAGCUAAUGCCGGGUAACAUGUUCCUUCGCAUGAAGGAACAUUAAAAGAUGGCUUCUCGCUAUCACUUACAGAUGGGCCCGCGGCGCAUUAGCUAGUUGGUGAGGUAACGGCUCACCAAGGCAACGAUGCGUAGCCGACCUGAGAGGGUGAUCGGCCACACUGGGACUGAGACACGGCCCAGACUCCUACGGGAGGCAGCAGUAGGGAAUCUUCCGCAAUGGACGAAAGUCUGACGGAGCAACGCCGCGUGAACGAUGAAGGUCUUCGGAUCGUAAAGUUCUGUUGUUAGGGAAGAACAAGUACCGUGCGAAUAGAACGGUACCUUGACGGUACCUAACGAGGAAGCCCCGGCUAACUACGUGCCAGCAGCCGCGGUA
rnacentral:rRNA from 1 species